AGUGAACGCUGGCGGUAGGCCUAACACAUGCAAGUCGAACGGCAGCACAGUAAGAGCUUGCUCUUACGGGUGGCGAGUGGCGGACGGGUGAGGAAUACGUCGGAAUCUACUUUUUCGUGGGGGAUAACGUAGGGAAACUUACGCUAAUACCGCAUACGACCUACGGGUGAAAGCAGGGGAUCUUCGGACCUUGCGCGAUUGAAUGAGCCGAUGUCGGAUUAGCUAGUUGGCGGGGUAAAGGCCCACCAAGGCGACGAUCCGUAGCUGGUCUGAGAGGAUGAUCAGCGACACUGGAACUGAGACACGGUCCAGAGUCCUACGGGAGGGAGCAGUGGGGAAUAUUGGACAAUGGGCGCAAGCCUGAUCCAGCCAUACCGCGUGGGUGAAGAAGGCCUUCGGGUUGUAAAGCCCUUUUGUUGGGAAAGAAAAGCAGCAGGUUAAUACCCCGCUGUUCUGACGGUACCCAAAGAAUAAGCACCGGCUAACUUCGUG
rnacentral:rRNA from 1 species